GACGAACGCUGGCGGCGUGCUUAACACAUGCAAGUCGAACGGAAAGGCCCUGCUUUUGUGGGGUGCUCGAGUGGCGAACGGGUGAGUAACACGUGAGUAACCUGCCCUUGACUUUGGGAUAACUUCAGGAAACUGGGGCUAAUACCGGAUAGGAGCUCCUGCUGCAUGGUGGGGGUUGGAAAGUUUCGGCGGUUGGGGAUGGACUCGCGGCUUAUCAGCUUGUUGGUGGGGUAGUGGCUUACCAAGGCUUUGACGGGUAGCCGGCCUGGGAGGGUGACCGGCCACAUUGGGACUGAGAUAGGGCCCAGACUCCUACGGGAGGCAGCAGUGGGGAAUAUUGCACAAUGGGCGGAAGCCUGAUGCAGCAACGCCGCGUGCGGGAUGACGGCCUUCGGGUUGAAAACCGCUUUCGCCUGUGACGAAGCGUGAGUGACGGUAAUGGGUAAAGAAGCACCGGCUAACUACGUG
rnacentral:rRNA from 1 species